UACGUAGGGUGCGAGCGUUGUCCGGAAUUAUUGGGCGUAAAGAGCUCGUAGGCGGUGUGUCACGUCGGCCGUGAAAACCUGCAGCUUAACUGUGGGCGUGCGGUCGAUACGGGCAUCACUGGAGUUCGGCAGGGGAGACUGGAAUUCCUGGUGUAGCGGUGAAAUGCGCAGAUAUCAGGAGGAACACCGGUGGCGGGGGCGGGUCUCUGGGCCGAUACUGACGCUGAGGAGCGAAAGCGUGGGGAGCGAACAGG
rnacentral:rRNA from 1 species